rnacentral:tRNA from 1 species
GCACCUGUAGCUCAGUGGAUAGAGCAGUGGUUUCCGGAGCCACGUGCGGGGGUUCGACUCCCUUCAGGUGCA